CGAGACGCUGGGCCGACGGGAAUCUGGGAAUCCCCCACUUUGACCUCUGUGAAUGCAUAUCUUAUUUAUCCAGACGCGCAGAAUGUUAAUAAAGUACUAAGUUCAAAGUGAAAGUACCAGGGAAAUUCAGGAAAAGGAGAAAGAACUGAGCUCGUCCUAGAUCAGCUGGAAAGCCUUUAGGAGCCCACGUGCCCUAUAGCAAAACCUCUCCCAAGAAAAACAAAAAACAAGAAACUUAAAGAUGGACUCCAGUGAUUCAUAAAUUAAGAGGAAAUCAAAAGGGAGAAAUAUGGUCAUCUCAACUGAUUCAGAAAAAUCAUCCAAUUAAUGUUUAUUCAUGAUAUAAUUAAAACAUACUUCAUGAUACUUAAAUCUCCUCAAACUAGGAAAAUAAGUGAAUUUACUUGUCAAAGAAAAUAAA